rnacentral:rRNA from 1 species
UACGUAGGGUGCAAGCGUUGUCCGGAAUUAUUGGGCGUAAAGAGCUCGUAGGCGGUCCGUCACGUCGGCUGUGAAAACCCGGGGCUCAACCCCGGGCCUGCAGUCGAUACGGGCGGACUAGAGUUCGGUAGGGGAGACUGGAAUUCCUGGUGUAGCGGUGAAAUGCGCAGAUAUCAGGAGGAACACCGGUGGCGAAGGCGGGUCUCUGGGCCGAUACUGACGCUGAGGAGCGAAAGCGUGGGGAGCGAACAGG